UACAGAGGGUGCGAGCGUUGAUCGGAUUUACUGGGCGUAAAGGGCGCGUAGGCGGUUAUAUGAGUGUGGUGUGAAAGCCCCGGGCUUAACCUGGGAAGAGCAUCGCAAACGAUAUAACUGGAGUAGAUGAGAGGGUGAUGGAAUUUCCGGUGUAGCGGUGAAAUGCGUAGAUAUCGGAAAGAACGUCGAUGGCGAAGGCAGUCACCUGGCAUCAUACUGACGCUGAGGCGCGAAAGCGUGGGGAGCGAACAGG
rnacentral:rRNA from 1 species